rnacentral:rRNA from 1 species
AUUGAACGCUGGCGGCAUGCCUUACACAUGCAAGUCGAACGGUAGAGGGGCAACCCUCGAGAGUGGCGAACGGGUGAGUAAUGCAUCGGAACGUGCCCAGUAGUGGGGGAUAGCCCGGCGAAAGCCGGAUUAAUACCGCAUACGACCUACGGGUGAAAGCGGGGGAUCGCAAGACCUCGCGCUAUUGGAGCGGCCGAUGUCAGAUUAGGUAGUUGGUGGGGUAAAAGCCUACCAAGCCGACGAUCGGUAGCUGGUCUGAGAGGACGACCAGCCACACUGGGACUGAGACACGGCCCAGACUCCUACGGGAGGCAGCAGUGGGGAAUUUUGGACAAUGGGCGAAAGCCUGAUCCAGCCAUGCCGCGUGCGGGAAGAAGGCCUUCGGGUUGUAAACCGCUUUUGUCAGGAAAGAAAUCCUCUGGGUUAAUACCCCGGGGGGAUGACGGUACCUGAGGAAUAAGCACCGGCUAACUACGUGCCAGCAGCCGCGGUAACAC